rnacentral:rRNA from 1 species
UACGUAGGGUGCGAGCGUUGUCCGGAAUUAUUGGGCGUAAAGGGCUCGUAGGCGGUUUGUCGCGUCGGGAGUGAAAUCCUACGGCUUAAAUGUGGGCUUGCUUUCGAUACGGGCAGACUAGAGGUAUGCAGGGGAGAACGGAAUUCCUGGUGUAGCGGUGAAAUGCGCAGAUAUCAGGAGGAACACCGAUGGCGAAGGCAGGUCUCUGGGCUGUAACUGACGCUGAGGAGCGAAAGCAUGGGGAGCGAACAGG